GGGGAUAACACUUGGAAACAGGUGCUAAUACCGUAUAACACUAUUUUCCGCAUGGAAGAAAGUUGAAAGGCGCUUUUGCGCCACUGAUGGAUGGACCCGCGGUGCAUUAGCUAGUUGGUGAGGUAACGGCUCACCAAGGCCACGAUGCAUAGCCGACCUGAGAGGGUGAUCGGCCACACUGGGACUGAGACACGGCCCAGACUCCUACGGGAGGCAGCAGUAGGGAAUCUUCGGCAAUGGACGAAAGUCUGACCGAGCAACGCCGCGUGAGUGAAGAAGGUUUUCGGAUCGUAAAACUCUGUUGUUAGAGAAGAACAAGGAUGAGAGUAAAACGUUCAUCCCUUGACGGUAUCUAACCAGAAAGCCACGGCUAACUACGUGUCAGCAGCCGCGGUAAUACGUAGGUGGCAAGCGUUGUCCGGAUUUAUUGGGCGUAAAGCGAGCGCAGGCGGUUUCUUAAGUCUGAUGUGAAAGCCCCCGGCUCAACCGGGGAGGGUCAUUGGAAACUGGGAGACUUGAGUGCAGAAGAGGAGAGUGGAAUUCCAUGUGUAGCGGUGAAAUGCGUAGAUAUAUGGAGGAACACCAGUGGCGAAGGCGGCUCUCUGGUCUGUAACUGACGCUGAGGCUCGAAAGCGUGGGGAGCGAACAGGAUUAGAUACCCU
rnacentral:rRNA from 1 species